AGUGAACGCUGGCGGUAGGCCUAACACAUGCAAGUCGAACGGCAGCACAGUAAGAGCUUGCUCUUACGGGUGGCGAGUGGCGGACGGGUGAGGAAUACAUCGGAAUCUACUUUUUCGUGGGGGAUAACGUAGGGAAACUUACGCUAAUACCGCAUACGACCUACGGGUGAAAGCAGGGGAUCUUCGGACCUUGCGCGAUUGAAUGAGCCGAUGUCGGAUUAGCUAGUUGGCGGGGUAAAGGCCCACCAAGGCGACGAUCCGUAGCUGGUCUGAGAGGAUGAUCAGCCACACUGGAACUGAGACACGGUCCAGACUCCUACGGGAGGCAGCAGUGGGGAAUAUUGGACAAUGGGCGCAAGCCUGAUCCAGCCAUACCGCGUGGGUGAAGAAGGCCUUCGGGUUGUAAAGCCCUUUUGCUGGGAAAGAAAAGCAGCAGGUUAAUACCCCGCUGUUCUGACGGUACCCAAAGAAUAAGCACCGGCUAACCUCGUG
rnacentral:rRNA from 1 species